rnacentral:sRNA from 1 species
AUGUAGCCCCGAUAGCAGUGAAAAUCCUUUAUUAUCCUCUACCGUUUAGGUAGAGGAUAAAAAAGAUUGCAACGAAUAGCGGGAAUAGCU